AAGAUUUGCUUUGGGUAGGAAGCAGUUUACCACUAUAGAGAAUCAAGAACGUGAGCUGACCGAAGACGAAUUCGUGAGGCACACCAAAGAACUUUGCCAGGAAAUGAAAAAGAAAAAUCUUAACACUGAGCAUAUAAAUAUGCUUUUAACUGCUACAAUGGUGAACCGACAAAAGUGGAUAUCAACACUUCCUGGUGGACUCAUCUCACCAAUAUUGAUGAAGUUCCCUUGCUUCUGGAAGAGCAGUUUUAUCAAAACUGAGAUGGAAAGACUUCUCAAGGAUACCACUGAAAGCUGGAAGACUAAAUUGAACAAGAUAUGUGACACACUGAUUAAGAAGGUUCCCAAGACUGACCAUCAUAGUUCACUGCAUGAAUAUGAUGUAAUUCACUACAUUGAAAAUGAAAUUUCCUUCAAACGAGGAAGAGGUGUGAAGUCUCAGCCAGUUAUCCUGCUAAGAGAAUUGUAUGGUGAUCAAGAUAAAGACUUCAGUAGUGCUGAAAAGUCUCCUCCUCACAUCAUCUUGACUGUUGAAAAUAAAAGCCUGAAGGAUGUAUAUAUCACUGGGGAUGGAUGUACAAUUCCAUGUGAAACAGGUGAUGAUGUGUGUGAUGCAGUAAUCUUAUUGCUUGGGACAUAUUACAUAUUUGACUUAGGGUAUCCAAGGAUUUAUUCACAGAUUUUAGGAUUCCUGCAACAGUAUGUGUUAAAUGAACCAUACACUUUGGAGAAGUCUUCAGGUUAUAAUCAUUUUGUAGCACAGUAUGAAAGGUUGUUGAGAGCAUAGGAGGAUUCACAUAAUGUAAGUUGCCUCCAUCCUCCUUCCUCCCCCUAUCCUUCUAAGAUAAGAAAGAGAUAAGAUAAUUUAUUGGUCACAUUGUUCUACAUAAAUGCAUACAAGUGAAAUUCUUUAUAGCAAAAACAGGCUCCAAAAGUAUUCUACAUAGA